rnacentral:rRNA from 1 species
UACGGAGGGAGCUAGCGUUGUUCGGAAUUACUGGGCGUAAAGCGCACGUAGGCGGCUUUGUAAGUUAGAGGUGAAAGCCCGGGGCUCAACUCCGGAACUGCCUUUAAGACUGCAUCGCUUGAAUCCAGGAGAGGUGAGUGGAAUUCCGAGUGUAGAGGUGAAAUUCUUAGAUAUUCGGAAGAACACCAGUGGCGAAGGCGGCUCACUGGACUGGUAUUGACGCUGAGGUGCGAAAGCGUGGGGAGCAAACAGG